rnacentral:rRNA from 1 species
CCUACGGGAGGCAGCAGCGGGGAAUAUUGGGCAAUGGGCGAAAGCCUGAACCAGCAACGCCGCGUGAAGGAAGAAGGUUUUCGGGUUGUAAACUCCUUUUCUGAGGGACGAAGAAAGUGACGGUACCUCAGGAAUAAGCCACGGCUAACUACGUGCCAGCAGCCGCGGUAAUACGUAGGUGGCAAGCGUUAUCCGGAUUUAGUGGGGGUAAAGGGCGUGUAGGCGGGAAAGCAAGUCAGAUGUGAAAACUCAGGGCUCAACCCUGAGCCUGCAUUUGAAACUGUUAUUCUUGAGUGCUGGAGAGGCAAGCGGAAGUCCGGGUGUAGCGGUGAAAUGCGUAGAUAUACGGAGGAACACCAGUGGCGAAGGCGGAUUGCUGGACAGUAACUGACGCUGAGGCGCGAAAGCGUGGGGAGCAAACAGGAUUAGAUACCCUGGUAGUC